AGUGAACGCUGGCGGCAGGCCUAACACAUGCAAGUCGAGCGGCAGAAGAGUGCUUGCUCCUGGUUUCAGCGGCGGACGGGUGAGUAAGGGCUAGGAAUCUGCGUGUCAACUGUUGAGAACGGGCUGAAACGGGCGCUAAUACGGCAUUCGUCCUUAGGGCCAAAGGGGGGGAGCUUCGGACCUCAGGCCAUCAGAUGAGUCUAUGUCGGAUUAGCUAGUUGGCGGGGUAAAGGCCUACCAAGGCGACGAUCCGUAACUGGUCUGAGAGGAUGAUCAGUCACACUGGAACUGAGACACGGUCCAGACUCCUACGGGAGGCAGCAGUGGGGAAUAUUGGACAAUGGGCGAAAGCCUGAUCCAGCCAUGCCGCGUGUGUGAAGAAGGUCUUCGGAUUGUAAAGCACUUUUGUUUGGGAAGAAGGGCAGUAAGUUAAUACCUCGCUGUUCUGACGUUACCCAAAGAAUAAGCACCGGCUAACUUCGUG
rnacentral:rRNA from 1 species